rnacentral:rRNA from 1 species
GAAAAGAAACUAACAAGGAUUCCCCUAGUAACGGCGAGUGAAGCGGGAAGAGCUCAAAUUUGUAAUCUGGCACCUUCGGUGUCCGAGUUGUAAUCUCGAGAAGUGUUUUCCGCGCCGGACCGCAUACAAGUCUGUUGGAAUACAGCGUCAUAGUGGUGAGAACCCCGUAACUGAUGCGGAUGCCCGGUGCUUUGUGAUACACUUUCGAAGAGUCGAGUUGUUUGGGAAUGCAGCUCAAAUUGGGUGGUAAAUUCCAUCUAAAGCUAAAUAUUGGCGAGAGACCGAUAGCGAACAAGUACCGUGAGGGAAAGAUGAAAAGCACUUUGGAAAGAGAGUUAACAGUACGUGAAAUUGUUGGAAGGGAAACGCUUGAAGUCAGACUUGCUAUUUGGAAUUCAGCCGCAAGGUGUACUUUUCAAUUCGCAGGCCAGCAUCAGUUUUCGGGGGUGGAAAAGGGUAGAGAGAAGGUAGCAAUUUCGGUUGUGUUAUAGCUCUUUGCUGGAUUCAUCCUUGGGGACUGAGGAACGCAGCACGCUUUUUGCAAGGCUUUCGAGCUUUUCGUGCUUAGGAUGCUGGUGGAAUGGCUUUAAACGACCCGUCUUGAA